AUACAAUGGUCGGAACAGUAGGGUUGCCAACCCGCGAGGGGGAGCUAAUCCCAGAAAACCGAUCGUAGUCCGGAUUGCACUCUGCAACUCGAGUGCAUGAAGCUGGAAUCGCUAGUAAUCGCGGAUCAGCAUGCCGCGGUGAAUACGUUCCCGGGUCUUGUACACACCGCCCGUCACACCAUGGGAGUGGGUUUUACCAGAAGUGGCUAGUCUAACCGCAAGGAGGACGGUCACCACGGUAGGAUUCAUGACUGGGGUGAAGUCGUAACAAGGUAGCCGUAUCGGAAGGUGCGGUUGGAUCACCUCC
rnacentral:rRNA from 1 species